rnacentral:lncRNA from 1 species
GAAUUAGCCUUUGCUGCAUGAAAUGAAUCCAUCCUAACUUAAAUGAUUAUUCAAAUAAGCACUUUUGGGAUUUUUUGCAGAAGUGUAAUUGGAUGUCCUGGGCUGUUUCAUACUCUACCCUGCAUCUCUUAUGGCCAGAGGGGUCUGUUUUUAUUAAUCUGGCCUGUAAUUCCAUGUUUUGUGUUCAAUGAAAUCCAUAUACCUAAUUCUUUGACUUUUCAUAGGAUGGAAAAACACUGAAUGAUGAAUUAGAAAUUAUUGAAGGCAUGAAGUUUGAUCGAGGCUAUAUUUCUCCAUACUUUAUUAAUACAUCAAAAGGUCAGAAAUGUGAAUUCCAGGAUGCCUAUGUUCUGUUGAGUGAAAAGAAAAUUUCUAGUAUCCAGUCCAUUGUACCUGCUCUUGAAAUUGCCAAUGCUCACCGUAAGCCUUUGGUCAUAAUCGCUGAAGAUGUUGAUGGAGAAGCUCUAAGUACACUCGUCUUGAAUAGGUAA